GUGAACGCUGGCGGCGUGCUUAGCACAUGCAAGUCGAACGGUAACAGGAAGUAGCUUGCUACUUUGCUGACGAGUGGCGCACGGGUGAGUAAACUAUAGUUAAUGUGUUUUGAAGAUUGGGAUAGCCAUUGGAAACGGUGAUUAAUACUAGAUAUAUUUCUUUAGCUCAAGCUGAGGAGGGAAACGUUUUUUCGCUUUGAGAUCAGACUAUAUCUUAUUAGUUAGUUGGUGAGGUAAUGGCUCACCAAGGCAAUGACGGGUAGCGGUUCUGAGAGGAUGAUCCGCCACACUGGUACUGAGACACGGACCAGACUCCUACGGGAGGCAGCAGUGAGGAAUAUUGCACAAUGGGGGGAACCCUGAUGCAGCAACGCCGCGUGGAGGAUGACGUAUUUCGGUGUGUAAACUCCUUUUAUAUGUCAAGAAGAUGACGGUAGCAUAUGAAUAAGCACCGGCUAACUCCGU
rnacentral:rRNA from 1 species